rnacentral:lncRNA from 10 species
GGGCCAGAUACAUCCUUGAGAGGCCCCAUGUGGAAAAGAGGAUGGUGGGCAAUUCAAAACAAAACUAUCUUUUUAAAAACGAUGUAAGACUUAGAGACACCAGACAAUAAAAACAGGUUCUUUCUAGAACUUUCUGACUACCAAGUUGUUCAGGCGCGCCUUCUUGGAUUGUGCUGAAGUUUGUGCCUGGCCCGUCUCUCUGGUCACCUGGCACCAGCUUGCCACUAGGAAGUGACUCGAAGACCUUGUAACUCCUGCUUCCACCCGAGGGAGCUGGGGUCCCUGCCUGCAUCUCCCCCUCAUCCUCUAACUCAGUUUUAUAAAGAGACGCAGAGUUAUCAUCCAUUCCCCAUCCUUGCAUGCCAAAGCUUUCUCCUCCAAAGUAGGACUUCUGGGGAGAGACAAUAGCGGCCAUGGAGGUGGAUGAAGUGGUCAGAGUCAAGGUCUGCGGUGGAGCUGGAACUGGGGUCUUAAUGUCAAGGAUGCCUCCUUAGGGACAGCUGGUGAUCGAGCUGGCAUUUGGGAGCAGGCAUCUCUCUGUGCCUGCUCUCAGUGGCCCUGGGCGACUGCCUCCUUGGCAGGCCAGCAUCUGCAUUUCCCGCUGCUGUAACAAAUGACUGCAAACUGCGUGCCCUAAAAGAAUAGAAAUUCAUUCUCCCUCUGUUCUAGGGGCCAGGAGUCUGAAAUCAAGGUGUCUGCAGGGCCGUACUCCCUCUGAGGCUUGUGGGGUGGAGGCAUCCUUGUCUUUCAGCUCUUGGUGGCUCUGGGCUUUCUUGCUUUAUGGUUGCGUAGCCCCAAUCCCUGCCUCCACCUCUGUCCUCUUCUCUUUUGUCUCCUAAGGACACUUGUUAUUGCAGUCAGAGUCCAUCUGGAUAAUCCUGGAUAAAUCUCAUCUGGAGAUCCUUCACCAGAUCACAUCGGCAAUGACCUGUUCCCCAAAUAAGGCCCUGUGCACAGGUUCUGGGGUGCUAGGAGUGAGCCACCAUGCCUGGCCCAGUUUUUAAUGCUUGGACAUCUCCAAAAUCAGGACAUAUCUUGUAAUUGAAGACGUCUCACCAUAGCGGCCAGCCGUGCAACCACUGGGCCUGUCUGUGCCUGAACAACACACUGGCCUGCCUUUGCCUGAACAAGACAGCCUUAGUCUCAAAGCUUGCAGAUGGGUGUGGCCUGGUAGAAAAUUCUCAAGACAACGGCGGAGCACGCUUGCCCCUAGGAGACCAAGUGGCCGGAAUGUUGAGAAUCAGCCUUUCGCAGAAAUCCCCUAAGCGGGAGGCAGCAGGCUGACUCCAUCAGCCCCAGGCAGGCUUCUGGGCCCUGCAGCUAUGGCUCUUCAUCCUUUUACAUGUUCUUCGAGAAUCAGCUGCACCCUGGAUGCUUCUGACAGCUCAGAGGACAUCAGCAUGAGGACAAGCACAGGGCUUGAUGGCUCGGAGGGAAAUGGAGUUGGAAGAUUUGGACUUAAUGUGCACACAUUUUAGAAAUAUCUUAACAAAUUUUAUUUUGCUGAUAUCUUUCUUUUUUGUGUGUGCCAAAGUGAUGGCCAGUACAAAUCCAUGUCUAAUUAAGUCCAGAAGAGCUCCUUCAAUAAGCGUAAGAUGAAAGUUAUGAGUGAUAAGAAAGCGUCAUGUCAGUUUAAUUGGCAGCAUUUUCUCUUUCUUAGUGGUUCAUAAAAUAAGGCAGUGCUUUGCUAUCGACGG